rnacentral:rRNA from 1 species
AGCGAACGCUGGCGGCGUGCUUAACACAUGCAAGUCGAACGGACAGCACUGUCAGUGGCGGACGGCUGGAUAACCCGACGGAAGGUGUACUGGUGAGGGACACACCCCCGAGAAACUGGGGCUAAUACGGAACAUGGGCUGAGGCCCGAUGCCGGGUCGCGCUGUUGGGGCGGCCUGCGUCCGAUUCGGUGGUUGGUGGGGUAAAGGCCUACCAUGCGUGGGAUGGUUAGCUGGUGUGAGAGGAAGACCAGGCACGCUGGGACUGAGACACGGGCCAGACUCGUACGGGAAGGAGCAGUAGGGAAUAUUGGACAAUGGGCGAAAGUCUGAUCAAGCAAUGCCGCGUGUGUGAAGAAUGUCUUCGGAUCGUAAAGCCCUUUCGACGGGGACGAUGAUGACGGUACCCGUAGAAGAAGCCCCGGCUAACUUCGUG